GACGAGGGGUCCUAGCGUUGUUCGGAAUCACUGGGCGUAAAGCGUAUGUAGGCGGGCUUUUAAGUCAGGUGUGAAAUCCCCAUGGCUCAACCAUGGAAUUGCAUUUGAAACUGGAAGUCUUGAAUGUGGGAGAGAUUGGUAGAAUACCUAGUGUAGUGGUGAAAUACGUAGAUAUUAGGUGGAAUACCGGUGGCGAAGGCGGCCAAUUGGCCCAACAUUCGAAC
rnacentral:rRNA from 1 species